AUCUGAUUUUCACUUUUUACCCCCUAAUUUCUCUUCCCUCUCUUCCUCACUUUCGUUCCCCGUAAUACACCACUGCCAUUGAACCACUCUUCCUCUCUUCUUCACUCUCCAUCAUCCGUUGUUCACUCAACCAUUCACUCUCCAUCAGUCGUUCAUUCACUGCCUUGCGAGAGCGUUUCUCUCGUCUCCAUUAUCGAAGGCUCUCGUUGCCUCUCCAUCAUCGAAGGCUCUUGCUGCCUCUCCAUCAUCUCGUUGAACCACAGUUCAAACAGUAAGCACUCUCCUUUACCUCUCAGCCUUUCACCUACAUCUUUCACCCUCAACUGCUAAGUGUUUGUCUAGGUAGGCUUUGAGAUGAUUGAUGCAAUUGCUAAGUCGUAGGGGAUUCCUAUGAACACUGCCCAUUCCAAAGCCAUUUUCGGAGAAGGUUUUGUUGGUGAAGUUCAUGUCUUCCUUGCAAAUCCUCAUACUUACAUGAAUCUGAGUGGUGAAUCAGGUUUAAAAUCUGAGUUAGAAAAGGCUUCACCUACUUUUGGCCGUGGUGCUACAUACUUGAAGGAAUUACGCAUUAAGGCCUUACCAAGACAUAUCUUCCAAGCGAAACACCGACUCCACUGGUGAAAUAUAGAGAAGAAGAGUUAGUUAAUUUGGGAGGAGAUGGAACGGGAUAACGUAGAGAGUGGGAGAGGGUCUAUGACUAUGAUGUCUACAAGAUAAGGAUGAAAAUCAUGUGCGUCCUAUUCUUGGAGGGUCUGACACCUUGCCUUAUCCUCGUAGGGGGAGGACUGGUAGAAGACCAACAAGGAAAGAUCCAAAAAGUGAGAUGAAGCUUUUGGACAUUUGAAGUUAGUGGCCCCAUAUUCCCUAUUUUUUUUCCUUUUCUUACAAAUUAUUAGGAAGUUUAUAUAACUUUGUCAUUUUGUUUUUAUUUUCUAUUUAUUUAUUUUGUGUAUCUUGUAUCAGUGCUAUGCUGCACUGUAGUUAUUAAACGUUCAAGAAUACAUUAAAAACAUUUUGUUUUAUCUCUCUACUGAAAGAGUGAGAUAGUACAGUUAAAAAGGUUUAUUGGUUAUUUAUAGAUAUAGAUAUUGUUCUC